UCAAAGGGGAAAACAAGUCACAUACAAGGAAUUUCCCAUUGCUCUUUUCUUUUUUUAAUAAUGCUAACCAGUUAAUGUGCCUCAACUGUUCUCCAUGUCAGCUCCUUGCUGUUCUGGCUCCUUGAGGGUGGCCCUGUCUAACUGCCUAUGAGGUAUCGAAUUAACUUAACUGUCUACAAUAUUCCCCCCUCUGAAGAAGUAACCCAGUGAGGUCAAUGAUAACUUUUUAAGGAUUCCCUAGUAUACAGAUGCAUCCUAUUCAGUCUAAUUUCUUCUCUUAGGCAUCCCAAAUCAUGCUGGUGUUGUGUAUUAUAAACAAUACUGCAGGAACAUCAUUGUAAACAAGUCCUUGCUUCUUUUCUGAAUUUUGUUUUCAUUAACAUGAACUCCCAAAGUGAGUUUGCUGAAUCAAAAGUGUAUGUAUUUCAGCCAGGCAUAGUAGCAUGCACCUGUAGUUCCAAAUACUUAGGAGCCUGAGGCGGAAGAUCACUUGAGCCCAUGAAGUAGAGACCAGCCUGGGCAAUACAGUGAGACGCCAUUUUUAAAGGGGGGGGGUAUGUAUUUCAGUUAUCUCUUGCUAGGUAAGAAACUACUCCAAAACCUAGUGAUUUAAAACAACAAUGAAUUAUCUCUUACAAUUCUGAGCAUGGCAGGAGCCCAUCUUGGGUUUCUUGGAAACCACGUCUGAGGGUGUAUUUCAUGGGAGGAGCCUGCGGUGGAAGGUUCCAGAUGUCCUUUCACACACAUCGGGCAGAUGGAGCUGGGGCUGGGCUGGGGUACUUGGUUCUCCUCCAUGUGGCCUCUCAGCCUCAAGUAGGCAUUGUGCCAUCACAGGGCUUCCACAGGACAAUAGCAGAAGCCACAAGAGCACAGUACCCUCCAUGUCCAAAUGCUUGAAUUGGUGUGGUAUUUCUGCCGCUAUAGCAUGGCCAAUAGAGUGGUCAAAGCAAGCCCAGGGCCAGCUCAGACUCAAGAGGGCAUAGAACAGAUUCCAAUAAUGUCCUCCAGGGCCUUGGAGGUCCCACCCUCCUGCAUCUCCAGCCAGGGGACUCUGUUGGCUCUGGCCACAUGGACCCUCUGGGUUGUGUUUGGAAGGCACUAGCUUCCCCUGCAUGUGUUGUCAUCUGGGCUGGAAUCCUCUCCCUAGCACCCAAGUUCUUUCCCUCCUGUCAAUAGCUUUGUCGAGGCAGAAUUCACAUAUCAUACAGUUCACCCAUUCAAGUGUAUGGGUCAGUGGUUGUCAGCAUAUUCAGAAUUGUGAGACCAUAAUCAUAGUUUUAGAACAUUUUCAUCGCAUCAAAUAGAAACCCUGUGCCCUUUAGCUCUUGCCCCUUCCCUGUCUUCUUCAGACCUAAACACAACCUCUAAUCUUUCUCCCUGCAGAUUUUCCUUUUCUGGAUAUUUCUUAUAAUGGAAUCAUAUAUGGUUUUUGUGACCAGUUUCUUUCACUUAGUUUAAUAUUCUCAGGGCUCAUCCAUGUUGCAUGAAACAGUCUUUUUUUUCCCUUCUCUUCUCUUUUCUUCUCUCUCUCUCUAUUAUUAUUAUUAUUAUUUUUUUGUCCUGGAGACCAAACCCAGGCUUUGCACAUACCACAAACACUCUAUCACUGAACUACACCUCCGGCCCCCGUCAUUUAUUUUUAAGAUGGAAUCCUUCUCGAUUGUAUUGUAUGGAUAAAUCACAUUUUGUGUAUCCAUCUAUCCAUUAAUGGGCAUUUGGUUGUUUCUACAUUUUGGCUCUUAUAAGUAUUGCUACUAUGAACAUUCAUGUGCAAGUUUCUGUGUGGACCUGUUUUCAUUUCUUUCAGGUAUACACCUAGGUGUGAAUUGCUGGAUUACAUGGGCCUGGGGACAGGCUGAGAGGCUCCAACCCUGGAGAGCCUGCAGAAUCAAGAAGGACCAGUCCUUGUUCCAUGCUAUUUCGGCUGUGGCGAAAUAGAUUCACAGGUUUGUUGCUGAGUUUUGGGCACUGGGUGAGAAUGGCUAUUGGAUGUGUGCAGCCCAAAGAGAAGGCCUGCUGUGGAAUCCGCUUUCCCAUCAGGGUCCUUUCUGGACGUGAGCCACAGACUUCCUGCAUCAGGAUUCCUCGGGAAGCCUGUUAAAGUGCAUACUCCUAUGUGUUUCUCAGACUGCAAGCUCAGCUUCUGUGGGCCUGGCCCAGGGCCUGCAUUUGCAUGAACUCCAGGUGGAUUCUGAUGCACACUCAGUCCAGGAACCCUGGAGCUGGAAACAACUUUCUCUCAGCUGUGUGGACAUCACCUUGUGUCCAUUUCCUCCUCAUCUUCCCUGUAAGGACACUGCUUGUGCUUCCAGGCUCACUUCUGUGCCACCUCUUCAGAGAGACCACCCUCACCCUUUCCCACUGCCCCAUCAGAAUCCGAUGAACUGUCACACGACUGGCACCGGGCAGCUGGCCUGUAGCAGAGCUGUGACUCACAUGUCGUUUUUGCAGAUGGCAGACUGGUAGGGGGACAUCCCAUAGAUUCUUCUGGAAACUGUCAAGAUACUGGGAAGAUAAUUACAAAGCUUGCGUAGACUGGGAUGCCCACACUUUGGACUUUGCAAGACCUAAAAUACAAAACAAAACAGAUAGCACUUGUAGUGGCAAAGCUGGAACUAAAACUCGGGUUUCAUCACUUGGUCAUGCAUUUGUUUACCCAUUCAUUCAACCAGUUGUGAAAGAACCCUUCGGUUUCAGACUCCACCAAGUCUUGAACACCAACACAUUGUGACAGCAAGAAAAGUACAACUGAAAACAGAUAGUGGAAGAUCAUUCUAAGAGGCCUGGACAGAGUCAUUUGGAGUUACUGAAUGCAAUGAGAAAGUGUUAUGUAUUCUGUGUAGUGAAAGUGUUGUGUGUUGCAUGUCAAGGGUCAGAUGACAUUUUGACACUAAGCACAAAAGUGUUGCUGAAUUUGGUGACACUGAAAGGAAAGCGUCUGAAGCGAAAUUGAGGAAAUAUCAUUCCCACUAUCUUAGUUUUUGCAACUAUCUUUCUAAAACAAAUCAUCUGCCAGCUGCCAGCUUUCAAAUUUCACUGUGCAUAGCAAAACAUGUAAGCUCCUCUCUGAUGGAGAUUUUAUCAAAAUGGCUAUGUUGUCUGGGAGUGAUUCCAUUUUUCAUGAUUUCCCAAACAAGGAUAAAAUAAUGCAACACAUCUCUGAGAUGCCACUUAGCAGAAAUACUGUUAAAGAUCGAGUCCUGCGCAUGGCAGGUGAUGUUAGUCAGCAGCUCACCACUGACUUACAGAAGGCAGCCUGUUACUCCAUGUGCUUGUAUGAAAGCACAGAUGUAAAUAAUCAUGGAAGGCUAGGAAUAAUUUUGCCUUAUGCACUUGGUGACAUCAUGAGAGAAGAGCUGGUGAAACUGGUGUCUUUGCCUGGAAGAAGAAGGGAUAGAUAUCUACACAGCUGUGAUGGAGGAUUUUUUGGUCACAGGCAUAAGACCAGAAAAAGUGGUUUCCAUUACUAGUGAUGGAACACCUUGCACGGUUGGGGCAACACCUGGCUUCAUACAAUUCUUUGUUAAAGACGCAAAUCAUCCAGUCAUUCAGUUUCAUUGUAUUAUACAUCAAGAAGCUCUUUGUGCCAGGAAAAGCAGCAAAAAAUUAGAUGAUAAUCUCAAAGAUGUCACAAAAAUGGUGAAUUACAUCAUGGCUCAUGCUCUUAAUUUUUGACAGUUUCAAGCACUCCUUGAUAAGGUUCAGGCCCAGCAUAAUUCUUUACUUAUGUACAAUAAUGUCUGGGGUGGCUGAGCAAAGGACGAGUCCUUGAGAGAUUUGUAGAUUUGCUUGGAUGAAAUUAGGCUGUUUAUGAAUGAAAAAGGGCAGGAAUAUCCAUAGCUCACUGAUAUGGCCUGGGUUAGCAAUCUCAUGGUUUUUGUUUGUUUUACAGAUUUUACACUACACUUCAAUGUACUAAAAAAAAAAUUACAAGGUGUAGGGAAAACAGCAGAAAGAAUGUUUUGUGAUAUCAAAAUAUUUGAGAGAAAACAGCAGGUUUUUGAAAGAGACAUUGAAAGUGGGCAGCUGAAAUAUUUUCCAAAUCUAAAAAUGUAUUUAGAAAAUUCUGCAACAUUUGAAGACAAUCCUACAAGCCAUCAGGAAAUCUACAAGGAAUUUUCUAGCAUUGUAGCAGCUGCAAAGGAGAAUUUUAGUAACAGAUUUUUACAGUGCUGUAAGAUGGAGACAACCCUGUGCUUUCUUAUUUUAGUAGAUAAAGUCAAAUUUGAAGAACUUGACCUUUCCUGCUUAAACUGGUUAGAUUUUAGAAAUGUAGAAAUCAAGCUAUUGGAAUUUCAAGAAAGCUCUAUCUGGAAAAAAUAAAUUCUAUGACCCAUGUGCAACUCUUGAAAAGACAGAGAUACUAGAAUGUAAGGGGAUGACAAAGGACAGCGCAGUGGGUAGUGCUGAGAAUGAAAUCCUUAAAGUGUGGAAUUCUCUGCCAAAUAAUUUUAAGUCAAUUAAAGCACUUGGGAUUGCCUUUCUUACUUUGUUUGGCUCAUCUUAAGCUUGUGAGCAGCUGUUUUCAGCUUUGAAUUAUAUCAAAUCUGAUACAAGAAACAGACUGACAGAUAAUCUGAGUGCUGCAUGUGUUGCUCCCAAACUAACAAAGUGUGAGCCAAAGUUUGACAAAUAACAGCAUACAACAGCAAAGAUCACAUUAAUUGUGCAAAAGCACACCAAAU